AUCUCAAAUCAAGUAAGACUACCCGCUGAACUUAAGCAUAUCAAUAAGCGGAGGAAAAGAAACUAACAAGGAUUCCCCUAGUAACGGCGAGUGAAGCGGGAUGAGCUCAAAUUUAAAAUCUGGCUGGUUUACUAGUCCGAAUUGUAGUUUAUAGAAGCGUUUUCGGUGGCAGCCUGGGUAUAAAUCCUUUGGAAUAGGGUAUCAUAGAGGGUGAGAAUCCCGUCUUUGACUCAGUGCAUGCUACUAUGUGAUACGUUUUCAAAGAGUCGAGUUGUUUGGGAAUGCAGCUCAAAAUGGGUGGUAAAUUUCAUCUAAAGCUAAAUAUUGGCGAGAGACCGAUAGCGAACAAGUACCGUGAGGGAAAGAUGAAAAGAACUUUGAAAAGAGAGUUAAACAGUGCGUGAAAUUGUUGAAAGGGAAACGUUUGACACCAGUUAUGCGGGUGGAAAAUCAGUCUUUUGCAAUGGGGAGUUGUGGGCGUUCAGACCGCAAGGCUGGCGUUUGCUUCAUCUUUGUUGUAAGUGAUGCACUUUUUCAUUUGCAGGUCAACAUCAGUUUGCUUUGCUGGACAAAACCCCAAGGGAAGGUGGCAGCUUAGGCUGUGUUAUAGCCCUGGGGCGAUACAGUGGAGUGGACUGAGGUUUCGCAGUGUGUGCUCUCGGGCAAGGCUGACUGGGUGCUAUGGGAUCGUUCGGCGUACAAUGCAUGCAUUUUGCGUCGUGUCUUUUUCAUACUCGCUCAACUCGGCUNU
rnacentral:rRNA from 1 species